rnacentral:rRNA from 1 species
UACGGAGGGUGCAAGCGUUAUCCGGAUUCACUGGGUUUAAAGGGAGCGUAGGUGGGCUUGUAAGUCAGUGGUGAAAUCUCCGUGCUUAACACGGAAACUGCCAUUGAUACUAUAGGUCUUGAAUAUUUCUGGAGGUUAGCGGAAUAUGUCAUGUAGCGGUGAAAAUGCUUAGAUAUGACAUAGAACACCGAUUGCGAAGGCAGCUAACUACAGGGUUAUUGACACUGAGGCUCGAAAGCGUGGGGAUCAAACAGG